rnacentral:rRNA from 1 species
GACGAACGCUGGCGGCGUGCCUAAUACAUGCAAGUAGAGCGCUGAAGGAGGAGCUUGCUUCUCUGGAUGAGUUGCGAACGGGUGAGUAACGCGUAGGUAACCUGCCUGGUAGCGGGGGAUAACUAUUGGAAACGAUAGCUAAUACCGCAUAAGAGUAGAUGUUGCAUGACAUUUGCUUAAAAGGUGCAAUUGCAUCACUACCAGAUGGACCUGCGUUGUAUUAGCUAGUUGGUGGGGUAACGGCUUACCAAGGCGACGAUACAUAGCCGACCUGAGAGGGUGAUCGGCCACACUGGGACUGAGACACGGCCCAGACUCCUACGGGAGGCAGCAGUAGGGAAUCUUCGGCAAUGGACGGAAGUCUGACCGAGCAACGCCGCGUGAGUGAAGAAGGUUGUCGGAUCGUAAAGCUCUGUUGUAAGAGAAGAACGAGUGUGAGAGUGGAAAGUUCACACUGUGACGGUAUCUUACCAGAAAGGGACGGCUAACUACGUG